rnacentral:rRNA from 1 species
UACGGAGGAUGCGAGCGUUAUCCGGAUUUAUUGGGUUUAAAGGGUGCGUAGGCGGAGUGUCAAGUCAGCGGUAAAAUUUCGGGGCUCAACCCCGUCGUGCCGUUGAAACUGACACCCUUGAGUGAGUGAGAAGUAAGCGGAAUGCGUGGUGUAGCGGUGAAAUGCAUAGAUAUCACGCAGAACGCCGAUUGCGAAGGCAGCUUUCCAAGCUAUUACUGACGCUGAGGCACGAAAGCGUGGGGAGCGAACAGG